rnacentral:rRNA from 2 species
GGGGAAUAUUGCACAAUGGGCGCAAGCCUGAUGCAGCGACGCCGCGUGAGCGAAGAAGGUUUUCGGAUCGUAAAGCUCUGUCCUCUGGGAAGAAAAAAUGACGGUACCAGAGGAGGAAGCCCCGGCUAACUACGUGCCAGCAGCCGCGGUAAUACGUAGGUGGCAAGCGUUGUCCGGAAUUACUGGGUGUAAAGGAUGCGUAGGCGGAUAUGUAAGUCAGAUGUGAAACCCCCGGGCUUAACCCGGGGCAUGCAUUUGAGACUGCAUAUCUAGAGUGCAGGAGAGGAAAGCGGAAUUCCUAGUGUAGCGGUGAAAUGCGUAGAUAUUAGGAAGAACACCAGUGGCGAAGGCGGCUUUCUGGACUGUAACUGACGCUGAUGCAUGAAAGCGUGGGGAGCAAACA